UGGAUAGGCUGUACAAUAAUUCUAGCUAUAGUGAAAUUUCUUACAUGUUGGUAAGGAGACUGAAGUACUCUCGAAGUGUGAGGGGAACCCGUAUAAAUCUCUGGUGUUCUUUAUUUUCUGUAUUUACCGCUUUCAUAUUCAUAGACAAACAAGAAAAUAAAAACAACAUCAUAUAA